UGGGAAGCGCCUUAGCAAGAGGCAGCGGUGGGCUGUCCCAUUGGGAAAGGCAAUGCUAGAGCAACUUACUGGGCACUUGGCACUCAGCCAAGGUCAGUCUGCUAUGUGCAGGAACCUCUCCAAAGCUCCAUGACCUGUUUGAGGUCAAGCAGAACAUCUGAUUUCAUCAGCUCCUUGUGCUGGUAUCAGUAUACUCC